rnacentral:rRNA from 1 species
GACGAACGCUGGCGGCGUGCUUAACACAUGCAAGUCGAACGAAGUGGCGAACGUGUGAGUAACGCGUAAUCAACCUGUCCUUCAGUGGGGGACAACAGGUGGAAACGACUGCUAAUACCGCAUACUGAAGGAGGGGAUUGCGUCUGAUUAGCUAGGUGGAGGGGUAACGGCCCACUAAGGCGAGGAUGAGUAGCCUGGCUGGAAAGGUGAACGGGCAACUUGGGACUGAGACAAGGCCCCGACUCCUACGGGAGGCAGCAGUGGGGAAUCCUCCGCAAUGGACGGAAGUCUGACCGUGCAACGCCGCGGUAGUGAUGACGGCCUUCGGGUUGGAAAGCUCUGUUAAUCGGGACGCGGUACCGGAAUAGAAAGCCACGGCUAACUACGUGCCAGCAGCCGCGGUAAUAC